GCCCUUAAGGGCGAAUUCGCCCUUAGAGUUUGAUCCUGGCUCAGAACGAACGCUGGCGGCACGUUUUAAGCAUGCAAGUCGGACGGCAGCAGGGGUAACUCUGUGAGAGUGGCGAACGGGUGAGUAACACGUAGGUGAUUUAACCUUGGGGUGGGGAUAGCCUGUGGAAACACAGGGUAAUACCGAAUGAGCUUAUUUGGUUAUGACCGAAUAAGGAAAGGUGCUACGGCACCGCCCGGGGAGGAGCCUGCGGCUGAUUAGCUAGUUGGUGAGGUAAAGGCCCACCAAGGCGACGAUCAGUAGCCGGCCUGAGAGGGUGUACGGCCACACUGGGACUGAGACACGGCCCAGACUCCUACGGGAGGCAGCAGCUAAGAAUCUUCCGCAAUGGGCGCAAGCCUGACGGAGCGAUGCCGCGUGAUCGAUGAAGGUCGAGAGAUUGUAAAGAUCUUUUCCGUUUGAGGAAUAAGGGUCGGAGGGAAUGCCGAUCUGAUGACGUUAGAGCGGGAAUAAGCCCCGGCUAAUUACGUGCCAGCAGCCGCGGUAACACGUAAGGGGCGAGCGUUGUUCGGAAUUAUUGGGCGUAAAGGGCACGCAGGCGGCUUGAGAAGUCUGAUGUGAAAGACCUGGGCUUAACUCAGGGAGCGCGUUGGGAAACUGUCAAGCUAGAGUAUUAGAGGGGGAGUCGGAAUUCCUAGUGUAGGGGUGAAAUCUGUUGAUAUUAGGAAGAACACCGGUGGCGAAGGCGGACUCCUGGCUGAAUACUGACGCUGAGGUGCGAAAGCAUAGGGAGCAAACAGGAUUAGAUACCCUGGUAGUCUAUGCUGUAAACGAUGUGCACUUGGUGUUGGGUCGAUUAGAUUCAGUGCCGUAGCAAACGCGAUAAGUGCACCGCCUGGGGAGUAUGCCCGCAAGGGUGAAACUCAAAUGAAUUGACGGGGAAGGGC
rnacentral:rRNA from 1 species